AUUUAUUUUCAAAAACUUUCGAAAACGUGACAUGACCAUCGCUGAUUGACAGGACCAACAUCGACAAUGACUGGACCAGAUGAAAUUGCUAAUUUCUCUUUUAUUUCUCAAAAUAUUUUUCUGAAAUUUGAAAUAUAAUAAGCUUUCAUCAUUUAUCAAAUAAAUUUAAAAAAAAAUACACAAAAAAUAUGUAAGAAACUUUAGAAAACGUGACAUGACCAACUCUGAUAAUGACAGGACCAACUUCGACAAUAACAGGACCAAAUAAAAAUGCUUAUAACUUUUUUAUUUUUCAAAAGAAUUAUCUCAGAUUUGAAACAUAAAAUGAUAUGUCACAUUUUGAAACAUUUAUGUUAUAAAAAAUAAAGAUUUAUUUUCAAAAACUUUCAAAAUCGUGACAUGAUCCAUCGCUGACUGACAUGACGAACCUCGACAAUGACCUGAACAAAUGAAAUUGCUAAUUAUUCUUUUAUUUCGCAGAAUAUUUCUCUGAAAUUAAAAUAUGUGAAGAUUAUACCAUUUUAUACAUAAAUAUAAGAAAAAGGUAUAAAAAGCUUGCUGAAAUGUGACCUGGUUAACGUUGUCAAUAACAGGACAAUCCUCGACAAUUAAUGACAGGAC
rnacentral:lncRNA from 1 species